rnacentral:rRNA from 1 species
CCUACGGGAGGCAGCAGUGGGGAAUAUUGCGCAAUGGGCGAAAGCCUGACGCAGCGACGCCGCGUGAGGGAUGAAGGUCUUCGGAUCGUAAACCUCUGUCAGCAGGGAAGAACGGUCACUGUGCUAAUCAGCAGUGAAUUGACGGUACCUGCAAAGGAAGCACCGGCUAACUCCGUGCCAGCAGCCGCGGUAAUACGGAGGGUGCGAGCGUUAAUCGGAAUUACUGGGCGGAAAGCGCUCGUAGGCGGUAUGUCAAGUCAAGGGUGAAAUCCCCGCGCUCACAGUGGGAACUGCCUUUGAAACUGGCAAACUGGAGUGUGUGAGAGGAUAGUGGAAUACGAGGAGUAGGAGUGAAAUGCGUAGAUAUCAGGAGGAACAUCAGUGGCGAAGGCGACUAUCUGGCACAUAACUGACGCUGAGGAGCGAAAGCGUGGGUAGCAAACAGGAUUAGAUACCCUUGUAGUC